rnacentral:rRNA from 1 species
GUUAUAUGGUCAAGUGAUUAAGCGCACACGGCGGAUGCCUAGGCGACAAGAGGCGAUGAAGGACGUGGUAGCCUGCGAAAAGCUUCGGAGAGUCGGCAAACAGACUUUGACCCGGAGAUGUCCGAAUGGGGAAACCCAUCCCGCUUGCGGGAUAUCUUCAGCUGAAUACAUAGGCUGGGGAAGCGAACCCAGGGAACUGAAACAUCUAAGUACCUGGAGGAAAAGAAAUCAACCGAGAUUCCCUGAGUAGCGGCGAGCGAAAGGGGACCAGCCCUAAAGUGCUGGAUUAGCUAGUGGAACGCUCUGGAAAGUGCGGCCAUAGCGAGUGAUAGCCUCGUACACAAAAGCUUAUCCAGUAUGAUUCGAGUAGGUCGGGACACGUGUUAUCUUGACUGAACAUGGGGGGACCAUCCUCCAAGGCUAAAUACUCCUUGUCGACCGAUAGUGAACUAGUACCGUGAGGGAAAGGUUAAAAGAACCCCGGUGAGGGGAGUGAAAUAGAACCUGAAACCGUGUGCGUACAAGCUGUAGGAGCCCCUUCGGGGGUGACUGCGUACCUUUUGUAUAAUGGGUCAGCGACUUACUUUCAGUGGCAAGCUUAACCAAUAGGGUAGGCGUAGGGAAACCGAGUCUGAAUAGGGCGAAUCAGUCGCUGGGAGUAGACCCGAAACCGGGCGAGCUAUCCAUGGCCAGGGUGAAGGUGGGGUAAUACCCACUGGAGGCCCGAACCGGGAGACGUUGAAAAGUCUUCGGAUGAGCUGUGGAUAGGAGUGAAAGGCUAACCAAGCCCGGAGAUAGCUGGUUCUCCUCGAAAGCUAUUUAGGUAGCGCCUCGUGUCUCACUCCUGGGGGUAGAGCACUGUUAUGGCUAGGGGGUCAUCCCGACUUACCAAACCAUUGCAAACUCCGAAUACCAGGAAGUGCAAUCACGGGAGACACACGGCGGGUGAUAAAAUUCGUCGUGGAAAGGGAAACAACCCAGACCGUCAGCUAAGGUCCCCAAAUCACAGCUCAGUGGGAAACGAUGUGGGAAGGCCCAGACAGCCAGGAGGUUGGCUUAGAAGCAGCCACCCUUUAAAGAUAGCGUAACAGCUCACUGGUCGAGUCGGCCUGCGCGGAAGAUGUAACGGGGCUCAAGCUGUGUACCGAAGCUACGGACACGUACUUGUACGUGUGGUAGAGGAGCGUUCUGUAAGCCGUCGAAGGUGGAUCGAGAGGUCUGCUGGAGGUAUCAGAAGUGCGAAUGCUGACAUGAGUAACGAUAAUGCGGGUGAAAAACCCGCACGCCGAAAACCCAAGGUUUCCUGCGCGACGCUAAUCGGCGCAGGGUGAGUCGGUACCUAAGGCGAGGCCGAAAGGCGUAGUCGAUGGAUAACAGGUUAAUAUUCCUGUACCACUCAUAAUUGCGAUGGGGCGACGGAGAAGGCUAGGUCAGCCGGGUGUUGGAUAUCCCGGUUUAAGCGAGUAGGGAGUACCCUUAGGAAAAUCCGGGGGUGCAAUCUCGAGACGUGAUGACGAGCUCCUUUAGGGAGCGAAGUGAUUAAUGCCCUGCUUCCAGGAAAAACCUCUAAGCUUCAGAUUAUGAGUGACCGUACCCCAAACCGACACAGGUGGGUGAGGAGAGAAUCCUAAGGCGCUUGAGAGAACUCGGGUGAAGGAACUCGGCAAAAUAACACCGUAACUUCGGGAGAAGGUGUGCCCUUGGUAUGUGAAAGCCCUGCGGCUGGAGCAGAAGAGGGUUGCAGUUACCAGGUGGCUGCGACUGUUUACUAAAAACACAGCACUCUGCAAACACGAAAGUGGACGUAUAGGGUGUGACGCCUGCCCGGUGCCGGAAGGUUAAUUGAUGACGUUAGCUUCGGCGAAGCGUUUGAUCGAAGCCCCGGUAAACGGCGGCCGUAACUAUAACGGUCCUAAGGUAGCGAAAUUCCUNNCCUGCACGAAUGGCGUAACGAUGGCCACACUGUCUCCACCCGAGACUCAGCGAAAUUGAACUUGCUGUGAAGAUGCAGUGUACCCGCGGCUAGACGGAAAGACCCCGUGCACCUUUACUACAGCUUUACACUGGACUUUGAAUAAACUUGUGUAGGAUAGCUGGGAGGCUUUGAAGCGUGAACGCCAGUUUGCGUGGAGCCAACCUUGAAAUACCAGCCUAGUUUGUUUGAGGUUCUAACCUGGGCCCGUUAUCCGGGUCGGGGACAGUGUAUGGUGGGUAGUUUGACUGGGGCGGUCGCCUCCCNNNNNNNNNNNNNNNNNNNNNNNNNNNNNNNNNNNNNNNNNNNNNNNNNNNNNNNNNNNNNNNNNNNNNNNNNNNNNNNNNNNNNNNNNNNNNNUCUGUAUGGAAGGGCCAUCGCUCAACGGAUAAAAGGUACGCCGGGGAUAACAGGCUGAUACCGCCCAAGAGUUCAUAUCGACGGCGGUGUUUGGCACCUCGAUGUCGGCUCAUCUCAUCCUGGGGCUGAAGCAGGUCCCAAGGGUAUGGCUGUUCGCCAUUUAAAGUGGUACGCGAGCUGGGUUUAGAACGUCGUGAGACAGUUCGGUCCCUAUCUGCCGUGGGCGUUGGAGAUUUGAGAGGAGCUGCUCCUAGUACGAGAGGACCGGAGUGGACGUACCCCUGGUGUUCCGGUUGUCAUGCCAAUGGCACCGCCGGGUAGCUAUGUACGGAAAGGAUAACCGCUGAAAGCAUCUAAGCGGGAAGCCUACCUCAAGAUGAGAUCUCCCUGGGAGUUCGACUCCCCUGAAGGGCCGUGGAAGACUACCACGUUGAUAGGCUGGGUGUGAAAGUGCGGCAACGUAUGAAGCUAACCAGUACUAAUUGCCCGUGAGACUUGACCAUAUAACCCAAACAGUU